GCCAGGCGUGGUGGUGGGUGCCUGUAGUCCCAGCUACUCAGGAGGCUGAGGCAGGAGAAUGGUGUGAAUCCAGGAGGCGGAGCUUGCAGUGAGCUGAGAUCGUGCCACUGCACUCCAGCCUGGGCAACAAAGCAAGACUCUGUCUCAAGAAAAAAAAAAAAAGAAUGCUCAUAUACAGGAUUGCUGCAACCAGGAUUGUAAUAACACAAAUGCAAGCCCAUAGCCCUGUGGUUAUUGCAGAAUCAGGAAUGCCUGUGUGAGUUGAGGUCACUUCUCAUUCUUUUUCAAUUUUGUUGUUAGAAGAUAGAUGAGGAAAGGAGAAGAAAAAGGUCCUAGUGAGAAACCCACUGAUGACCCUUCUAAUUGUUAUGAUCACUGCCCAAUUGUAUAAAUUGUCAUUGUUCACUAACCCAGUGCCUAGCAUGGUGCCAGGCACAUAGUUACUCUAAGAAAGCACAGUGAUUGCUGGAUUCUUUCUCUCCUUUUACAGCUCUUCAUGUGGAUGUCUGAGCUCCUAUCAGGUGUCUGAAAGAGGCAGAUUCUGAGGAUUUGGGUCAUGAUGGCUGCCAAAGCUUCUACGCCUGACUUAAAGGGCAACAAUCCUAGGAGACCACCAGCACUUACAUCCCUGGUGGGACAUGACACCUGCUUAUGGCCCAGAAGUGACAAAAGAGAAUUAUCAGGAUGGCAGUCGUUAUAACCAGAUGCUUAUGAACAUUCUUCACUACAUUCUGAAGAUGAAUUUCUAUAAGGGAAAUUGUUUAUGGAGGCAGCAGAUGGCUGAAAUUCUGAAGCAAUGUGGCUGGUUAAUGCACGAUCUGAAAACCCCUGCACUGGUGAUUUUGGGACAGAUCUAGAAUAUACCAAUAAAUAUAUUAACAUACCAAGUAGUCCAGGAGCAGCCACUGGGCAAACACCAAACCUUGCAUCCCCGGUGCUGUCUCUGAGCUCAACAGGUAAGUUCAAAGACAUUCCUGUCUUCCCAGUGUAGGGAACUAAAUUUGGGUCAUCUCAGAAGCAUG
rnacentral:lncRNA from 1 species